rnacentral:rRNA from 1 species
AGAGUUUGAUCAUGGCUCAGAAUCAACGCUGGCGGCGCGCCUAACACAUGCAAGUCGAACGAGAAAGCCGGGGCAACCUGGUGAGUACAGUGGCGUACGGGUGAGUAACACGUGGAUGAUCUACCUCUUAGUUCGGAAUAACCAUGGGAAACCGGGGCUAAUACCGGAUGAGCUCGAGAGAGGAAAGUAGCAAUACGCUGAGAGAGGAGUCCGCGGCCGAUUAGCUAGUUGGCAGGGUAAAAGCCUACCAAGGCAAAGAUCGGUAGCCGGCCUGAGAGGGCACACGGCCACACUGGCACUGAGACACGGGCCAGACUCCUACGGGAGGCAGCAGUGGGGAAUCUUGCACAAUGGGGGAAACCCUGAUGCAGCGACGCCGCGUGAGCGAUGAAGCCCUUCGGGGUGUAAAGCUCUUUCGUCAGGGAAGAUGAUGACGGUACCUGGAGAAGCAGCUGCGGCUAACUACGUGCCAGUAGCCGCGGUAAUACGUAGGCAGCGAGCGUUGUUCGGAGUUACUGGGCGUAAAGGGUGUGUAGGCGGUGAUUUAAGUUUGGUGUGAAAUCUCCCGGCUCAACUGGGAGGGAGCGCCGAAUACUGAAUGACUUGGAGUACGGGAGAGGAAAGUGGAAUUCCUGGUGUAGCGGUGAAAUGCGUAGAUAUCAGGAGGAACACCGGUGGUGUAGACGGCUUUCUGGACCGUAACUGACGCUGAGACACGAAAGCGUGGGUAGCAAACAGGAUUAGAUACCCUGGUAGUCCACGCCCUAAACGAUGCAUAUUUGGUGUGGGCAGUUCAUUCUGUCCGUGCCGGAGCUAACGCGUUAAAUAUGCCGCCUGGGGAGUACAGUCGCAAGGCUGAAACUCAAAGGAAUUGACGGGGGCCCGCACAAGCGGUGGAGCAUGUGGUUCAAUUCGACGCACGCG